rnacentral:lncRNA from 1 species
CUCUGCCCAGAAGGAGACGUUUCCCCUCUACCCAACUUUCACACGAGCCACCCUCCUCACCCCGUCUCUCUGCUUUAACCUCUUUUAGGAUGAUUGACGGUAGGAAAACUCCUCCUGACUGGGGGAAAAUACUCCCCAAUCCUCAAGGAUGUGGUCUGGUUCUGUGCUCUUGUUAAGAGCCCUGUUGGCUACUGGUCGACUGAACAUGUUCUCCUUCCGGCCCGUGCUGCGAGCACUGUAAUGCGGCUUCCCUCCUGGGACAAGAUAGUCUUCUGUUCUUGGCGUCAAGCACGGGCCAGCUCAAAGCUUGGUGAAAGGAGGGUUUGUCUGGGAAGCGAAGUCCAUAAGUGUGCAGUAAACUCAAGGAAAUUAUACUGGCAAAAUAUGGAAUUUGGUCUGAGAAACUUUUCUUUUUGGUGAAGAAGAUUUGUCCCGAGCUAACAUCCAUUACCAAUCUUCUGCUUUUUUUUUUUUCCUGAGGAGGAUUAGCCCUGAGCUAACGUCUGUGCCAGUCUUCCUUCACUUUGUAUGCAGGAUGCCUCCACAGCAUGGCUGAUGAGUGGAGUAGGUCU